AGUGAACGCUGGCGGUAGGCCUAACACAUGCAAGUCGAACGGCAGCACAGUAAGAGCUUGCUCUUACGGGUGGCGAGUGGCGGACGGGUGAGGGAUACAUCGGAAUCUACUUUUUCGUGGGGGAUAACGUAGGGAAACUUACGCUAAUACCGCAUACGACCUACGGGUGAAAGCAGGGGAUCUUCGGACCUUGCGCGAUUGAAUGAGCCGAUGUCGGAUUAGCUAGUUGGCGGGGUAAAGGCCCACCAAGGCGACGAUCCGUAGCUGGUCUGAGAGGAUGAUCAGCCACACUGGAACUGAGACACGGUCCAGACUCCUACGGGAGGCAGCAGUGGGGAAUAUUGGACAAUGGGCGCAAGCCUGAUCCAGCCAUACCGCGUGGGUGAAGAAGGCCUUCGGGUUGUAAAGCCCUUUUGUUGGGAAAGAAAAGCAGCAGGUUAAUACCCCGCUGUUCUGACGGUACCCAAAGAAUAAGCACCGGCUAACUACGUG
rnacentral:rRNA from 1 species